rnacentral:lncRNA from 1 species
GUGGGCUGGGUGAGUGGCUGAGGCAGAGCCUUGUGGAAGCCUGGAUGUGACUCCCUCUGUACCAUAUUCACAUUCACAGAUUCUGCUGUAAGUGAAAUCCCUCCUGAUAAUCUUCUUUACUGGAGGGGGAAGCCAUGGAGAGCAGAGGGAGGGAAGAGACAUUCACCCACUGGACACUGUCAGCAAGACAAUGGCGAGUUCAGCCACAUGACAGAAAAAGCACUGUGGGAUCCUGAAAGUAUUUGCAUGCC